rnacentral:sRNA from 1 species
GUGGUGGUGGGUAUUUAUUAUUGUUACUACCUCUGACAGAGACUUCUCGCUUCUAGUGAACAAUAAAAUCAUUAGUUUGGACCUUCCUGUGGCUGAAGUUUACAAGAAAGUCUGGUGUACCACGAAUGAGGGAGAGCCCAUGAGGAUUGUUUAUCGUAUGCGGGGGCUGCUGGGUGAUGCCACAGAGGAGUUCAUUGAGUCCCUGGACUCUACUACAGAUGAAGAAGAAGAUGAAGAAGAAGUGUAUAAAAUGGCUGGUGUGAUGGCCCAGUGUGGGGGCCUGGAAUGCAUGCUUAACAGACUCGCAGGGAUCAGAGAUUUCAAGCAGGGACGCCACCUUCUAACAGUGCUACUGAAAUUGUUCAGUUACUGCGUGAAGGUGAAAGUCAACCGGCAGCAACUGGUCAAGCUGGAAAUGAACACCUUGAACGUCAUGCUGGGGACCCUAAACCUGGCCCUUGUAGCUGAACAAGAAAGCAAGGACAGUGGGGGCGCAGCUGUGGCUGAGCAGGUGCUUAGCAUCAUGGAGAUCAUUCUAGAUGAGUCCAAUGCUGAGCCCCUGAGUGAGGACAAGGGCAACCUCCUCCUGACAGGUGACAAGGAUCAACUGGUGAUGCUCUUGGACCAGAUCAACAGCACCUUUGUUCGCUCCAACCCCAGUGUGCUCCAGGGCCUGCUUCGCAUCAUCCCGUACCUUUCCUUUGGAGAGGUGGAGAAAAUGCAGAUCUUGGUGGAGCGAUUCAAACCAUACUGCAACUUUGAUAAAUAUGAUGAAGAUCACAGUGGUGAUGAUAAAGUCUUCCUGGACUGCUUCUGUAAAAUAGCUGCUGGCAUCAAGAACAACAGCAAUGGGCACCAGCUGAAGGAUCUGAUUCUCCAGAAGGGGAUCAC